rnacentral:miRNA from 1 species
CUGUCACUGGAUCAAAAUCC